rnacentral:rRNA from 1 species
UACGUAGGGUGCGAGCGUUGUCCGGAAUUAUUGGGCGUAAAGAGCUUGUAGGCGGUUUGUCGCGUCUGCUGUGAAAUCUCAAGGCUCAACCUUGAGCUUGCAGUGGGUACGGGCAGACUAGAGUGGUGGUAGGGGAGACUGGAAUUCCUGGUGUAGCGGUGAAAUGCGCAGAUAUCAGGAGGAACACCGAUGGCGAAGGCAGGUCUCUGG